AUUUCGAAAAUAUAGGAAAGGGUAUAAAGGGUAUAAAGGAAGUCAUUCUAGUGGAAGCCAUUCUAGUGGAGGCCAUUCCGGCGGAGGGCGCAGUGGUCAUGGCGGUAGAUACAAAAUUAACCCAUACAGGCCAUACAAAGGAUGAUAUGUUAAAAACAGAAACAGCUAAUGUGUUUUAAAAUGAUUAAAAUGAUAAAUUGA